rnacentral:rRNA from 1 species
CGUGAAUGAUGAAGGUCUUAGGAUUGUAAAAUUCUUUCAGCAGGGACGAUAAUGACGGUACCUGCAGAAGAAGCCCCGGCUAACUUCGUGC